GAUGAACGCUGGCGGCGUGCCUAAUACAUGCAAGUCGAGCGAACAAACGGAGCUCGUUCUCCGCUUCCGUGGCCGGCGGGCGAGUGAUGAACACGUGUAUAACCGACAGAGAAGGCUGGCGUAACUUCGGGAGAGCUGAUCUAGUACACGAUAAGAGAGUGAACGUCAUGGUUCAAUAGUGCUCACGGUUUUACUUGCGCCUAUAUAUGGAUCCGCGCCGGAUUAGCUAGUUGGUAAGGUAAGGGCUUACCAAGGCAACGAUGCGUAGCCGACCUGAGAGGGUGAUCGGCCACACUGGAACUGAGACACGGUCCAGACUCCUACGGGAGGCAGCAGUAGGGAAUAUUACGCAAUGGGCGAAAGCCUGACGCAGCCACGCCGCGUGAGUGAUGAAGGUCUUCGGAUCGUAAAGCUCUGUUAUUAGGGAAGAAGAACAGUGUAAGUAAAUCUGACCGUCUUGACGGUACCUACUGAGAAAGCACCGGCUAACUACGUG
rnacentral:rRNA from 1 species